rnacentral:rRNA from 1 species
UAGGGAAUUUUCCACAAUGGGGGCAACCCUGAUGGAGCAACGCCGCGUGCAGGAUGAAGGCCCUUGGGUCGUAAACUGCUUUUAUCUGUGAAGAUUAUGACGGUAGCAGAUGAAUAAGGAUCGGCUAACUCCGUGCCAGCAGCCGCGGUCAUACGGAGGAUCCAAGCGUUAUCCGGAAUUACUGGGCGUAAAGAGUUGCGUAGGCGGCAUAGUAAGUAGGGCGUGAAAGCGUGUGGCUCAACCAUAUACACAUGUCCUAAACUGCUAAGCUAGAAUCUGGAAGAGGUGGCUAGAAUUCCUUGUGUAGGAGUGAAAUCCGUAGAUAUAAGGAGGAAUACCGAUGGCGUAGGCAGGCCACUGGUCCAGUAUUGACGCUAAGGCACGAAAGCGUGGGGAGCAAACGGG